GAUCCUGGCUCAGGAUGAACGCUAGCGGCAGGCUUAACACAUGCAAGUCGAGGGGCAGCGCGUUGUAGCAAUACGAUGGCGGCGACCGGCGAAAGGGUGCGUAACGCGUGAGCAACCUGCCCGUAUCCGGGACAUAAGCGGUGGAAACGCCGUCUAAUUUCCCAUAACAACGAGGGCCGCAUGGUCCAUGUUUGAAAGAUGCGUCGGAUACGGAUGGGCUCGCGAGACAUUAGCUAGUCGGCGUGGUAACGGCACACCGAGGCGACGAUGUCUAGGGGUUCUGAGAGGAAGGUCCCCCACAUUGGUACUGAGACACGGACCAAACUCCUACGGGAGGCAGCAGUGAGGAAUAUUGGUCAAUGGGCGUGAGCCUGAACCAGCCAAGUAGCGUGCAGGAUGACGGCCCUAUGGGUUGUAAACUGCUUUUGCCGGGGAAUAAAGUGCCCUACGUGUAGGGUUUUGUAUGUACCCGGAGAAUAAGGACCGGCUAAUUCCGUGCC
rnacentral:rRNA from 1 species